rnacentral:rRNA from 1 species
CAUGAUUUACUUGAUCUUGAUAAUCCUAAAUGGACAACUGUGGAAAAGCUAGAGCUAAUACAUGCACUAAAGCUUUGUCCUUACGGAAAAGCGCAUUUAUUAGAACAAAACCAAGCGGCUUCGGCUGCUUCUUGUUGACUCAGAAUAACUAAGCUGACCGCAUGGCCAAGUGCCGGCGGCGAAUCUUUCAAGCGUCCACUUUAUCAACUUGACGGGAGCAUAAUCGACUCCCGUGGUGGUGACGGAUAACGGAGGAUCAGGGUUCGACUCCGGAGAAGGGGCCUGAGAAAUGGCCACUACGUCUAAGGAUGGCAGCAGGCGCGCAAAUUACCCACUCUCGGCUCGAGGAGGUAGUGACGAGAAAUAACGAGGUCGUUCUCAAAUGAGGCCGGUCAUCGGAAUGGGUACAAUUUAAACCCUUUAACGAGUAUCAAGCAGAGGGCAAGUCUGGUGCCAGCAGCCGCGGUAAUUCCAGCUCUGCUAAUACAUAGAAUUAUUGCUGCGGUUAAAAAGCUCGUAGUUGGAUUCGUGUCGAUACCCUGGAACCCUUCGGGUGUCUCUAGGUGUUAUCGAUUUAUCGUAAUGUUCGGUCUUGAGUCCUUAACAGGAUUCCUGACAGGCGUUACAAGUUUACUUUGAACAAAUCAGAGUGCUUCAAACAGGCGUUUAGCUUGAAUGAUCGUGCAUGGAAUAAUAGAAUACGAUUUCGGUUCAGUUUUAUUGGUUUUACGGACUGAGAUAAUGGUUAACAGAGACAAACGGGGGCAUUUGUAUGGCCCCGUGAGAGGUGAAAUUCUUGGACCGUGGCCAGACAAACUACAGCGAAAGCAUUUGCCAAGAAUGUCUUCAUUAAUCAAGAACGAAAGUCAGAGGUUCGAAA